GUGGGGAAUUUUGGACAAUGGGCGCAAGCCUGAUCCAGCAAUGCCGCGUGCAGGAAGAAGGCCUUCGGGUUGUAAACUGCUUUUGUACGGAACGAAACGGUCCUGGUUAAUACCUGGGGCUAAUGACGGUACCGAAAGAAUAAGCACCGGCUAACUACGUGCCAGCAGCCGCAGUAAUACGUAGGGUGCGAGCGUUAAUCGGAAUUACUGGGCGUAAAGCGUGCGCAGGCGGUGCUGUAAGACAGGCGUGAAAUCCCCGGGCUCAACCUGGGAAUUGCGCUUGUGACUGCAGUGCUGGAGUACGGCAGAGGGGGAUGGAAUUCCGCGUGUAGCAGUGAAAUGCGUAGAUAUGCGGAGGAACACCGAUGGCGAAGGCAGUCCCCUGGGCCUGUACUGACGCUCAUGCACGAAAGCGUGGGGAGCAAACAGGAUUAGAAACCCUAGUAGUCC
rnacentral:rRNA from 1 species